GGGGAAUCUUAGACAAUGGGGGCAACCCUGAUCUAGCCAUGCCGCGUGAGUGAUGACGGCCUUAGGGUUGUAAAGCUCUUUCAGCUGGGAAGAUAAUGACGGUACCAGCAGAAGAAGCCCCGGCUAACUCCGUGCCAGCAGCCGCGGUAAUACGGAGGGGGCUAGCGUUGUUCGGAAUUACUGGGCGUAAAGCGCACGUAGGCGGACUGGAAAGUUGGGGGUGAAAUCCCGGGGCUCAACCUCGGAACUGCCUUCAAAACUAUCAGUCUGGAGUUCGAGAGAGGUGAGUGGAAUUCCGAGUGUAGAGGUGAAAUUCGUAGAUAUUCGGAGGAACACCAGUGGCGAAGGCGGCUCACUGGCUCGAUACUGACGCUGAGGUGCGAAAGCGUGGGGAGCAA
rnacentral:rRNA from 1 species